GACGAACCGUGCGAACGUUAUUCGGAAUCACUGGGCUUAAAGCGCGUGUAGGCGGCCCGGUAAGUCCGCUGUGAAAGUCGGGGGCUCAACCCUCGAAAGCCGGUGGAUACUGUCGGGCUCGAGUACGGGAGAGGCGAGUGGAAUUCCUGGUGUAGCGGUGAAAUGCGCAGAUAUCAGGAGGAACACCGAUUGCGAAGGCAGCUCGCUGGAACGUUACUGACGCUGAGACGCGAAAGCGUGGGGAGCAAACAGG
rnacentral:rRNA from 1 species